GACGUAGGGCGCGAGCGUUGUCCGGAUUUAUUGGGCGUAAAGAGCUCGUAGGCGGCUUGUCGCGUCGUCCGUGAAAACUCACAGCUUAACUGUGAGCUUGCGGUCGAUACGGGCAGGCUAGAGUUCGGUAGGGGAGACUGGAAUUCCUGGUGUAGCGGUGAAAUGCGCAGAUAUCAGGAGGAACACCGGUGGCGAAGGCGGGUCUCUGGGCCGUAACUGACGCUGAGGAGCGAAAGCAUGGGGAGCGAACAGG
rnacentral:rRNA from 1 species